CCUACGGGAGGCAGCAGUGGGGAAUAUUGCACAAUGGGCGCAAGCCUGAUGCAGCGACGCCGCGUGAGGGAUGACGGCCUUCGGGUUGUAAACCUCUUUCAGUAGGGAAGAAGCGUAAGUGACGGUACCUGCAGAAGAAGCGCCGGCUAACUACGUGCCAGCAGCCGCGGUAAUACGUAGGGCGCAAGCGUUAUCCGGAAUUAUUGGGCGUAAAGAGCUCGUAGGCGGUUUGUCGCGUCUGCCGUGAAAGUCCGGGGCUCAACUCCGGAUCUGCGGUGGGUACGGGCAGACUAGAGUGAUGUAGGGGAGACUGGAAUUCCUGGUGUAGCGGUGAAAUGCGCAGAUAUCAGGAGGAACACCGAUGGCGAAGGCAGGUCUCUGGGCAUUAACUGACGCUGAGGAGCGAAAGCAUGGGGAGCGAACAGGAUUAGAUACCCUGGUAGUCCAUGCCGUAAACGUUGGGCACUAGGUGUGGGGGACAUUCCACGUUUUCCGCGCCGUAGCUACGCNUAAGUGCCCGCCNGGGAGUGGCCGCAGCGAACUACAAGGAAGUUGACGG
rnacentral:rRNA from 1 species